rnacentral:rRNA from 1 species
CCUAGCCUACGGGGCGCAGCAGUGGGGAAUAUUGCACAAUGGGGGAAACCCUGAUGCAGCGACGCCGCGUGAAGGACGAAGUAUUUCGGUACGCAAACUUCUAUCAGCAGGGAAGAAAAUGACGGUACCUGACCAAGAAGCCCCGGCUAACUACGUGCCAGCAGCCGCGGUAAUACGUAGGGGGCAAGCGUUAUCCGGAUUUACUGGGUGUAAAGGGGGCGUAGACGGCCGUGCAAGUCUGAUGUGAAAACCCGGGGCUCAACCCCGGGACGGCAUUGGAAACUGCAUGGAUGGAGUGUCG